AUUAGGUCAUACUGCAAAUUUGUGGCUGAUACAAAGGUUGAUUAAGAGAGCUGCAUGAUUUUAAAGUGAUGUUGUGUGAGGAGAAUUAAGUUCUGUGUGAUAGUUCCGGGAAAUGGGAGCCACCAUAACUAAGGAGAAAUAAUGUAUGGGCAAUAGCGGGGAGAACAUAUUUCCACAGAGUGCUUGAAGUAAUACUCAUUUACAAUUUAACAAAGUCCUCUCUCUCCUCUGGAAGAAUUGUAUUAUGGAUCUUGAAAACAAGCAAUGAAUUACAAUGAAGACACAGAGAGGUGAUCCCUGCUCUUGUUUCAGCAAAAGAUACAGCUACAUUAUGGAGGUGAAACAUGACUUUUGAUGAUCAAGCAUGCAGUGAUUAAAUAAGGAGCCUGGAAUAGAAGCCUGUUUCCUUACUAAAAAGGAUUUCAUCCAUCAAGCACAUACACUGAUGUGGGCAUGAAGUGAAAUGAUGGAGAAGGUUUUUUCCUCUGCUAUCUGUCACUGGAGUCUGUCUAAGCUCUGGAGAGCAUCAUCAUGACAGAAAAGGAAAAGCAAGAUAUUCCAGGAGAGAAGAGCAGAGCUUUACCUGCUAAACAAAAGGGAGAGAUAAACCUGGAACUGAAGAGACUGGGAGAAAGCAAUUUAGAGCUCAUUUGCUUAUCCUCCUAAUGCAGAUUUUUUUUUAGCAUACCUUCUGUGAUAUCUAUUUUUCUUGGCUAUGGUUCUCAUCAAUCGCUCUUUCUUCCUCACCUUUGUAGUUUGAUCUUCAUUCU